rnacentral:rRNA from 1 species
GACGAACGCUGGCGGCGUGCUUAACACAUGCAAGUCGAACGGAAAGGCCCUGCUUUUGUGGGGUGCUCGAGUGGCGAACGGGUGAGUAACACGUGAGUAACCUGCCCUUGACUUUGGGAUAACUUCAGGAAACUGGGGCUAAUACCGGAUAGGAGCUCCUGCUGCAUGGUGGGGGUUGGAAAGUUUCGGCGGUUGGGGAUGGACUCGCGGCUUAUCAGCUUGUUGGUGGGGUAGUGGCUUACUAGGGCUUUGACGGGUAGCCGGCCUGAGAGGGUGACCGGCCACAUUGGGACUGAGAUACGGCCCAGACUCCUACGGGAGGCACCAGUGGGGAAUAUUGCACAAUGGGCGGAAGCCUGAUGCAGCAACGCCGCGUGCGGGAUGACGGCCUUCGGGUUGUAAACCGCUUUCGCCUGUGACGAAGCGUGAGUGACGGUAAUGGGUAAAGAAGCACCGGCUAACUACGUG